rnacentral:rRNA from 1 species
UUUUAUGGAGAGUUUGAUCCUGGCUCAGGAUGAACGCUGGCGGCGUGCCUAAUACAUGCAAGUCGAGCGAACGGACGAGAAGCUUGCUUCUCUGAUGUUAGCGGCGGACGGGUGAGUAACACGUGGAUAACCUACCUAUAAGACUGGGAUAACUUCGGGAAACCGGAGCUAAUACCGGAUAAUAUUUUGAACCGCAUGGUUCAAAAGUAAAAGACGGUCUUGCUGUCACUUAUAGAUGGAUCCGCGCUGCAUUAGCUAGUUGGUAAGGUAACGGCUUACCAAGGCAACGAUGCAUAGCCGACCUGAGAGGGUGAUCGGCCACACUGGAAC